rnacentral:lncRNA from 1 species
AUUUAAGCUUUGAAUGAGCUGUUGGAGCCUUGAAUGAAAUGCACUGCAUUUUGGUUCAGAUAUGGAAAAAACAGGAAGGAAGAUCUUCAGCAUGUGAAGAAAACUGAAAAGUAAAAAAGUAGCUGUAAUGACAAUAAGUUUUAAAAUGAGAAACUAUUUCUGCAUGGACUUGAAGUUCUUAUGCCUGUACAGGGCGUGCCCAGAGUAGAUGGAAGUAUUUCUUUAGAGGUACAUAAUGUGGAAGUGGUGAAGAUGAGCUGACACAUUAUUUCAUGCACGUGGAAUCUAGGACAUUACUGCAGAGCUCAUCUUUCUUAACACAAAAUGAUCUUCAGAAGACAAACCAGCCAGUGUCAGUGACUGAAGGUGAGCAUUACUAAUCCCUCUG